rnacentral:rRNA from 1 species
AAAGGCUAUGGCUUAACCAUAGUUAGCAUUUGAAACUGUAUUACUUGAGUGCAGGAGAGGUAAGUGGAAUUCCUAGUGUAGCGGUGAAAUGCGUAGAUAUUAGGAGGAACACCAGUGGCGAAGGCGACUUACUGGACUGUAACUGACGCUGAGUCACGAAAGCGUGGGUAGCAAACAGGAUUAGAUACCCUGGUAGUCCACGCUGUAAACGAUGAGUGCUAGGUGUUGGGUAGCGAUAUUCAGUGCCGAAGUAAACACAAUAAGCACUCCGCCUGGGGAGUACGGUCGCAAGACUGAAACUCAAAGGAAUUGACGGGGACCCGCACAAGCAGCGGAGCAUGUGGUUUAAUUCGAAGCAACGCGAAGAACCUUACCAAGGCUUGACAUCCCCUUGACCGGCACAGAGAUGUGCCCUCUCCUUCGGGAGCAAGGGUGACAGGUGGUGCAUGGUUGUCGUCAGCUCGUGUCGUGAGAUGUUGGGUUAAGUCCCGCAACGAGCGCAACCCUUAUCCUUAGUUGCCAGCAGGUUAAGCUGGGCACUCUAAGGAGACUGCCGAUGAUAAAUCGGAGGAAGGUGGGGAUGACGUCAAAUCAUCAUGCCCCUUAUGUCUUGGGCUACACACGUGCUACAAUGGUCGGUACAAAGGGCGGCGAAGGAGUGAUCUGGAGCGAAUCCCAAUAAACCGAUCCCAGUUCGGAUUGUAGGCUGCAACUCGCCUACAUGAAGUCGGAGUUGCUAGUAAUCGCGAAUCAGAACGUCGCGGUGAAUGCGUUCCCGGGUCUUGUACACACCGCCCGUCACACCAUGGAAGUUGGUAAUACCCAAAGUCGCUGAGCUAACCGCAAGGGGGCAGGCGCCUAAGGUAGGAUCAAUGACUGGGGUGAAGUCGUAACAAGGUAGCCG